UGGGGAAUUUUGGACAAUGGGCGCAAGCCUGAUCCAGCCAUGCCGCGUGCGGGAAGAAGGCCUUCGGGUUGUAAACCGUUUUUGUCAGGGAAGAAAUCUUCUGAGUUAAUACCUCGGGAGGAUGACGGUACCUGAAGAAUAAGCACCGGCUAACUACGUGCCAGCAGCCGCGGUAAUACGUAGGGUGCAAGCGUUAAUCGGAAUUACUGGGCGUAAAGCGUGCGCAGGCGGUUUUGUAAGACAGAGGUGAAAUCCCCGGGCUCAACCUGGGAACUGCCUUUGUGACUGCAAGGCUUGAGUGCGGCAGAGGGGGAUGGAAUUCCGCGUGUAGCAGUGAAAUGCGUAGAUAUGCGGAGGAACACCGAUGGCGAAGGCAAUCCCCUGGGCCUGCACUGACGCUCAUGCACGAAAGCGUGGGGAGCAAACAGGAUUAGAUACCCUGGUAGUCCACGCCCUAAACGAUGUCAACUGGUUGUUGGGAAGGUUCCUUCUCAGUAACGUAGCUAACGCGUGAAGUUGACCGCCUGGGGAGUACGGCCGCAAGGUUG
rnacentral:rRNA from 1 species